rfam:Ovis aries breed Texel chromosome 7, whole genome shotgun sequence.
UCCCUCAUAGCUAAGUGGGUAAAGAACCUGCCUGCAAUGCAGGCGACCUGGGUUUGAUUCCUGGGUCGGGAA